rnacentral:lncRNA from 1 species
AAGGCUCGUAGCCUGUCCAGAGUCACACGGCUAGAAAACCCCGGGAGAUCCUUCUAGCACCUAUGCGUUUCUAACGAGCGUUCCCGAAAUGUAUCAACUUUGUGCUUGCUGUGUGCCUUCCCUGCUAGAACACAGCUCUGCAGGGUCGGGGAACUCAUUACUUUGUUCACUGAUGUACCUGCAACACGUUGGACAGGCCCACAGUAGGCACUCAACUUUUUCACUGAAUGAAUCAAAGCGACAGAGCGGGCAGUCAGUUCGAGUCCACAGCUAGGACCUUAUGGGAUGACGCAGUGCUUAGCUCCUUGUCUGGUGACAAUUAGGCUGCUACUAAGCGUUUACUCUUAACACUGAAACGAGGCCUUGUGGCUGCUUCCAUAAAGUAUUCCAUCUGGGUUUUCCUCACUUUCACUGCCUCAGAGAGGUUGCUCACUGCAUCUCCUGUGCGGUCGUUUCCAGGGUCAGGGCGCAUCAGUGAGACCACUGCUCACCUCCUGCGGGCUCCGGCUCAGCCGCCCCUGGGCUUCCUAGUCUACAGAAGAGCCAGUCGAGGCCUCAGAAGGUGAGUUCCCUGGCUCAGGGACAGAUGCGGUGCUGUGGCCAUGGUCCCAACGGAGACGCGUUUGUCUCUGGAUCCUUUGGUCCUGCGUCGUUAGGAACAAGAGAGCUCUUAUCAGAGUCCUAGGAGGAGGAGCCUCAGCCCAGAGCCUAGGACAGAGGGAGGAGGCUCAUAGGACAGACCCAGAGCCCAGGGCUGAGGGAGGAGGCUUAGAGGACAGCAGGUCGAAGAAGGGCUGGACUUGGAGUGGCCUUUGUCCCUCCAGCGGAGAAAGACCAUGCCCACUGUGUGACUGUGGGAAGUUGGACCCCAUUGGGGGAGAGAGACGAAACGCACAGACAGGUGGAGUAAUGCUGCUGUGUGGAGGGCGGCCUGCUGUGGUGCCUGUGAGGGUCGGAUCAGGCUGACAGGGAUCACUGCCCGCUGCACAGGACUCUCUCCUGACACUUCUGUGCACACAGCUUUUGCCACUGGGUGUUUCUGGAUUUGAGUGAGCCCCAGAGUGAGAACCUCCCACCUGCCGCUAGCAGAAAUGUGGACUCUCCCUCCAGUCUGACUCAAGUACAGAAUGCUCUCGUAUGGUUUUGUUUUUCACUUGGGAACAUUUGCAAGCGGUCCAGAGGUAUGUUGUCAGCUGUUUCUGCUGCCUCAUUUUGGUGCCACUGUCCCUGGACCUGAGAGCCCGAGUCGUUCACCUGCACGGGGCCGAGCCCUCUUGUCCCGAGGCCGCCGCAGGGGUUGCUGCAGUGACAGCAGCUACUCUGUGCAAAAGCUCCUUGCUGACACUUUCUUUAGAAAACCGCCAAGGCGGGAAGAGCAGGCAGUUGAAUGGGCAUCAUGGGAAAGGAGAAAGUGACAGGCCAGGAACUGGGUGGGGGCGGCCAGUGGAGGGCAGGGUGCACAGGGCGGUAGGGGCAGUGGUUUCCAGCUCCUUGCGGAACGACCGGUGCUGGGCUCCUCACCUGCCUCCCUGCCCCCGGCUGCCCCUCUGUCCCUUCUUCAACCCUAGUUUGUCUCCUUCCUGCAAACGGCAGCCAGGUAUCCCUGUCCUCCAGACUCUGCUAAGGGUCUGUCACUUUCAGGGCUCAGCGUAAUCACUGUUCAUUUCCAUUUUAUUAGUAAUAAUAGUCACAGUCAAAAAUGCAAAACAAGGGAUGUGAGGGUGAAAAAAUUUUUUUUAAAUGCAAGUAAACAAAACAAGAGGACUGCAAUCAUCAGCGAAAACCAGUAUCAACAUUUUAAUCACCGCUGUUCCUCAGGACGUACUUACUGCCGAAGGAGUGAGAUUGCGUUGCACUUCCUUUUUUGUAACCUGCUCUUAAAUAGGUUAAGAAAUGAAAUAAUAUUCCAAUGUAUUUUGGAGGCCCACAAACACAGGUCACCUGCAAAGCCCACGCGAGCUUAUCCAAAGCCCAAGGGAACGGCCUGGGGCUGCCAGGCAUGGUUGCACACCAUCCUCCCCAGGGUGCAAGGGUGAUUAUUAUCAGGCUGGUGGGGAUGCUCUCCUGGCUGAAUGCACUGAUCUGGAUGCCCCAAUUCUGUCUUCCUAGAUCUCUGCCCUUUGUCUCGAGCAGAACAGGAUGGCCGUGUUCCAGGUGAGUUCCUAAU